ACUUCUGCUCCAUGAGAUUUUAAAUAGCCGCAGUACUCUGACUGUGCAAAGGUAGCAUAAUCAAUUGGCUUUUAAUUAGAGUCUGGUAUGAACGAAUAUAUGGGUUACAGCUGUCUUAGAAUAAUACUUCGAAUUUGGAUGUAAGUGAAAAUCCUUACUUAAUUAAAAAAGACGAGAAGACCCUAGAAGCUUAUAUUAAUAUUUUUGUUGGGGCGACAGAAUUACAAAUAACUAAUUCUAAAAAACGGGACGCGGGACUGAUAGAACAAGCUACUCUAGGGAUAACAGCAUAAUUUUUUCCGUUUGUGACCUCGAUGUUGGACUAGGUAAAUUAUCCUUUAGAAGAGGAUGUGAGAGCUCUGUUCGAGCGUGUUAAACCU
rnacentral:rRNA from 1 species